CGGGGCGACCAUCUGGUCCCUGGGCGUACUGCUGUUCGAAAUGGUGUGCGGGUUCCUGCCAUUCGAAAACGAGCGUGACAUCGUGUUGGGGCAGCCCAUCUUCCCGCAGGAGAUCUCUCCAGAGUGCCAACAUCUCAUCCGCUGGUGUUUGUCCAAGCACCCCAUGGAUCGGCCAGUGCUGGAGCAGAUCUUCUACCACCCUUGGGUGUUGGGCAGGCAUUUCUGAUGCCUUGCCACAGCCUCUGCAGCACCCAGUUCCUAUGUCCCACGCAGGCAGGACUGAGGGCUGAGAAAUAAAACAACCCAAAAGCCA